rnacentral:misc_RNA from 1 species
UCAAACUUGGUCAUUUAGAGGAAGUAAAAGUCGUAACAAGGUUUCCGUAGGUGAACCUGCGGAAGGAUCAUUAAAGAUAUUAUAAAGUUUGAACUUGGUUGAUGCUGGCCUUUGAUGGAAAUUGAUAAGGCACAUAUGUGCACGCCUAGUUCUAAUUUUUUAACCCACCUUGUGCAUAUUUUGUAGGUCUGGAUUAUAUUUCUCAAGAUUUUUUUCUUGGUUUGAGAAUUGCUUCGUUUAAAGCUCUUCUUGUUUAUUUUCUAGUCCUAUGUGAUUUCUACACACAUUAUUUUCUGUAUAUUUGAUACAAAGGUUUUCAUUGAUACCUAAAAAAUUAAAACAACUUUCAACAACGGAUCUCUUGGCUCUCGCAUCGAUGAAGAACGCAGC